rnacentral:rRNA from 1 species
CGUGCUACAAUGGACAAUACAAAGGGCAGCGAAACCGUGAGGUCAAGCAAAUCCCAUAAAGUUGUUCUCAGUUCGGAUUGUAGUCUGCAACUCGACUACAUGAAGCUGGAAUCGCUAGUAAUCGUAGAUCAGCAUGCUACGGUGAAUACGUUCCCGGGUCUUGUACACACCGCCCGUCACACCACGAGAGUUUGUAACACCCGAAGCCGGUGGAGUAACCUUUUAGGAGCUAGCCGUCGAAGGUGGGACAAAUGAUUGGGGUGAAGUCGUAACAAGGUAGCCGUAUCGGAAGGUGCGGCUGGAUCACCUCCUUU